rnacentral:lncRNA from 1 species
UUUGUCACACAUAUUAGGUGCCUUCAUAAGGUGCCAGUGUGUGGGAGGAUAGAGAUCAACAUAGGUUUUGAAAUUCAAACAACUUUGAAUUCAAAACCAACCCAAGCUAAUCCUAUCACUAAUGGGUGACAAUAGAAGGGCUUUGGCAUGGACUAUUCAAUGCACAAACUAAUUUGUGCGAUGAAAGAAGGAAUGCAGAGAAGGGAAGGUGCA